rnacentral:rRNA from 1 species
UCUGACGGAGCNCGCCGCGUGAGUGAUGAAGGUUUUCGGAUCGUAAAGCUCUGUUGUUAGGGAAGAACAAGUGCCGUUCAAAUAGGGCGGCACCUUGACGGUACCUAACCAGAAAGCCACGGCUAACUACGUGCCAGCAGCCGCGGUAAUACGUAGGUGGCAAGCGUUGUCCGGAAUUAUUGGGCGUAAAGGGCUCGCAGGCGGUUUCUUAAGUCUGAUGUGAAAGCCCCCGGCUCAACCGGGGAGGGUCAUUGGAAACUGGGGAACUUGAGUGCAGAAGAGGAGAGUGGAAUUCCACGUGUAGCGGUGAAAUGCGUAGAGAUGUGGAGGAACACCAGUGGCGAAGGCGACUCUCUGGUCUGUAACUGACGCUGAGGAGCGAAAGCGUGGGGAGCGAACAGGAUUAGAUACCCCCCGUAGU